AUUGAACGCUGGCGGCAGGCCUAACACAUGCAAGUCGAGCGAGCGGCGGACGGGUGAGUAAUGUAUGGGGACUGCCCGAUAGAGGGGGUUAGCUACUGGAAACGGUGGCUAAUACCGCAUACUAUCGGAUAACCCAGAUGGGAUGAGCUAGUGGGUGGGGUAAAGGGUCACCAAGGCGACGAUCUCUAGCUGGUGUGAGAGGAUGAUCAGCCACACUGGGACUGAGACACGGCCCAGACUCCUACGGAGGCAGCAGUGGGGAAUAUUGCACAAUGGGCGCAAGCCUGAUGCAGCCAUGCCGCGUGUAUGAAGAAGGCCUUAGGGUUGUAAAGUACUUUCAGCUGGGAGGCGUUACCCGCAGAAGAAGCACCGGCUAACUCCGUGCCAGCAGCCGCGGUAAUUC
rnacentral:rRNA from 1 species